CAUACUGAGUAGGAGAGGAGUUCCUCCUCUCCAACGCAGUAUUUUGGAAGAGUUUCAGUAGGAAAAGUACCAGCUCUUCUUUGUACAUCUGGUAGAAUUCUGCUGUGAAUCCAUCUGGUCUAAGCUUCUUUUGGUUGGUAGGCUAUUUAUUACAGACUCAGUUUCUGAGCUUAUUAUUGGUCUGUUCAGGGAUUCAGCUUCUUCCUGAUUCAUUCUUGGCAGCUACACCUCCAGCUUCCCUAGAUCUCUGGCUUGCAGACUGCAAAUUGUGAAAUUUUUCAGCCUCCACAAUGGCAUGAACCAAUUUCUUAUAAUAAAUUAUCCAUCUAUCUAGAUGGACCGACAGAAAUAUCCUAUUUCUUCUGCAUCUCUGAAAACUACAUGGAGUUUCCCAGUGUUGCCCAGGCUGAAGUGAAGUGGUUAUUCACAGGUGUAAUAAUCAUGCACUACAGCCUUGAGAUCUCGGCCUCAGGCAUAUCCUUUUUCCUCAGCUUCCCAAGUACCUGGGACUGCAGACAUGUGCCACUGUGCCUGUCCAGAUAUUAUUCCUUAAGUUCUAUCAGUAAUUUGUUGAAAUUUUCAACUUAAAUUUUACACACAUAUUUGUCAGAUCUUUUUCUGUUUCUUACUUUUGAUGCUGCUAUAAAUGGUGUUGUUUGUAUAAUUUUAAUUUCUAAUGCUCUUUUGCUGCUUUCCAGAAAUAGAAGUUAUCUUUUUAUGUUAAAAUUGUAUUUUGAAAACUCAGUAAACAUGCUUAUUAGUCCUUCUUCCAUCAAAUCAAUGCCCUUCUGGGACCAGGUCAGAAGAUAAUCAGGAAGGUAAAAAUAGCCCUUUAGGGGAUUCUAAAUUUUUUUUUUCUCCAGUAUCUACCAUUUCUUCAUGAAAGUCAACAUGUCAAGAGAUAGAAUACUAUUUGGCCAUUAACACAGGCUAAAUAAGAAACUGAAUCAAAAUAAGCCAGUUCAGGACCAAGAGGCCCUAGAGAAACCCACUACUUCAAAUAAAGUCAGUAAGUAUAGAGGGAGGGACAGAGACCUCAAAAGUAUCCACUGUCUCCAGAAGCCUAAAAUGAUCAGCAAUGUAGAGACUGAAUCAUACAACAACAAAAUGCAUAAAUGCUAAUGAUUAAAAUAAAAAUAAAUGAGUUUUAAAAAGACCCUCAUUUUAGGGAAUAUAUGUGUUUCCUUGUGAAUUCUCUGAUGGUGGGAAAGGAGGGCAAUAAGGGAGUAGGCAGGCAUAUGACAAGGGAGUAAAGUGGAGUUCUGCAGGGUGCCGACCUCACCAGUAGGUCCACAAUGAGCUAGACAUGAGGGAUUAGUAGGUGAAGACUAAGUGCUGAAGACAAAUUUUCUCCUAAAUAUCAAUACACAGGCAAGAAUGUAUUAUUUCUGCCUGUGUUCAGGGUGACGGGUGACAUCAGUGUCUAGUUUGCUAGAACUCAGAUGGGAAGUGCUAAUUUGAAACAUAUAGAUAUAUAUGUGUGUAUGCAUAUAUACACAUAUAUAUUUGUGUAUGUGUAUAUAUACAUAUAUACACAUAUAUAUUUGUGUAUGUGUAUAUAUACAUAUAUACAGUUCAAGUUAGCAUAUUUAUGUCUAAUUUUUUGGUCAUUGUACAGGGAAUUCUAUUUGAAUAACUGUUGGACUGCUGGGCCACGAUACAAGCUGAUGCAGCUACCUCUACUUCUUUCUAAAAUAGUUUCUUAAUGACGUGGAAUUGUUGGUGUGUUAGAGCCAGCUUCAGGUGCACUUCCACUCACAAUCUCUGUAGUAAUGUGUCACACAAAUACCCCUGCUUUUAAACAUUAGCUUAUUAAAAAAAGAAAGCACAGUGAAUAUAGACAAAGAACAAUUUAAUUUUUCACAGUUCUGCCAUUUUCGGCAACCAAAUAUUUUGAUUUUAUGUCUAGAUUGGAAACGACGUGUGAACUGCAAGGUAUAACAUUUUUGAAGGAGAAUGGAAAUUUUAUUAUAUUUGACUGUAGAAUAUUCUAAUGAAUUUGAAAAAUCUUUAAAAGUGCACUUAUAAUUUUAAAUCCAGAACUUAAAAUAUUACAUUUGUUUUAUGAUUUAGUGGUUGCCUUAGUCGUACUGCUUGUAUACUGUUUGGUUUCCUUAAAAAUUUCUUGUUUUUACUUUUAUAUUUAUACAUAAAGUAGUUAAUAAAAGACUUAUAAUGUUUUCUGAUUAUUUCUUUAAAUUCUUAUUACUAAUUACUAAUUUUUUAUAUUGAAGAGGGUGUGUUUUAAAAAGUACCUUUCCAGAGGCCAAAUACACUUAGGCCACUGGAGUGGGGUAUUUUAUUGCCUAAAAUCCUUCAUAAUUAGGCCCCAAGUAGCUGGUGUGUUUUUUUUUUCUCUUGUUUGUUCUCUUCAUUUUAAAUAGUUUUACUGAGGUAGAAUUGACCUACAAUAAGCCACACAUCUUUACAUUUUACACUUAAUUAGUUUUGAUAUAUGUGUGUGCCCAUUAAAACCAUCACCACAAUCAAAAUAGGAAAUAUUUUCAUUGCUCUUAAAAGUUUCCUUUUUCCCUUUGCAAUCACUCACUCCUCCCUAUGUUCAUCCCUAGGUAACUAUUGAUGUCUUCUGUCACUACAGUUUACCUUUUCUAUAUGUUAAAUGACUGUAUCAUCAUACUGUAUAUACGCUUUUAUCUCCGUGGUCUUUUAUGUCUAACUUCCUUCAAUCAGCAUAAUUUUGAUAUGUAUUCCUGUUGUUGCAUAUAUCAAUAUUUCAUUCCUUUUUAUUGCUGAGUAGUAGUAUUACAUUAAGAGGAUAUGCCAAAUUUGUUCGUUCCUUUUCCUGUUGAGCAUGUAACUUGUUGCCAUUUUUUGGCUAUUACAA